UACGUAGGGUGCGAGCGUUAAUCGGAAUUACUGGGCGUAAAGCGUGCGCAGGCGGUUCGUUGUGUCCGUCGUGAAAGCCCCGGGCUUAACCUGGGAACUGCGAUGGAAACUAGCGAGCUGGAGUGUGGCAGAGGGGGGUGGAAUUCCGCGUGUAGCAGUGAAAUGCGCAGAUAUCAGGAGGAACACCGAUGGCGAAGGCAGGUCUCUGGGCCAUAACUGACGCUGAGAAGCGAAAGCAUGGGGAGCGAACAGG
rnacentral:rRNA from 1 species